AAAACAUUGAAUACUCAAAAUAAUUGUUAUGUCUUCUUUCUCGAAAAUAAAGUCAUUGGUUUUUUUGUUCUAAAAAAGUUUCAUUGAUCUCUUGGUAGUUCUACCUUGAAGUCCCAUUAUGGCCUUUAUACUUACACUUGUACUUACAAAUACUGACUUGAGAUCUCUCAAGGGAAACAACGGGAAUCAUAACGCUUAAGGUCUGAACUUUCGUGACUGUUAGCAGUAUGGGACAAAUAAAAACAAGACUGUUAGAAGACGAUGUUCUGCGACAAAUGCGACAAGCCGUAUACGUCUCGCGGUGGUCUUUACAACCACAAGAAGUUCGAGUGCGGGAAGGAGCCUUCCUUCAGCUGUCCGAUCUGCCCUUACAAGAGCAGCAGGAAGGCCACACUAAACAUUCACGUGUUCAGAAGACACAGCCAAGUCCAACUUUAAGAGAAAUUUGUAAAAAUGGAUUUUUUUGGCAAUAAAGUUAUUUUAUUUAAAUAUAAACAAUUUUUCCCUUGGUUGUUACCAACUCCGCUGGAACACCCGGUAACUUCUUCAAGUGCCCCGGCUGCUUCAACAGGUACAAAUCCAAGUCGGGACUGUACAACCACCUCAAAUACGACUGCGGUAAGGAGCCGCAGUUCAGCUGUCCGAUCUGC